CGCAGCGAAAUGCGAUAAGUAGUGUGAAUUGCAGAAUUCAGUGAAUCAUCGAAUCUUUGAACGCACAUUGCGCCUUCUGGUAUUCCGGGAGGCAUGCCUGUCCGAGCGUCAUGAAGCAAACUCCUCAAGCAUUUUGUUGCUUGGUCUUGGGGGAACAGAUGCACCAGUGCCCUGUCCCCUGCAAUCCAUAGGCGGAAACCACUGCGACAUCAGGUGUGAUACAGAUAACCUUUUCGCUUGAUGCCUCGUAGAUGCUGGUUCUGGCCUUUCCAACCCAGCCCCCCAGCUAUAUACACAUUCAGUUGACCUCAGAUCAGGUAGG
rnacentral:rRNA from 1 species